rnacentral:rRNA from 1 species
UACGGGGGGAGCAAGCGUUGUUCGGAUUUACUGGGCGUAAAGGGCGCGUAGGCGGCGCAACAAGUCACUUGUGAAAUCUCCGGGCUUAACCCGGAGCGGCCAAGUAAUACUGUCGUGCUAGAGUGCGGAAGGGGCUACUGGAAUUCUCGGUGUAGCGGUGAAAUGCGUAGAUAUCGAGAGGAACACCUGCGGCGAAGGCGGGUAGCUGGGCCGACACUGACGCUGAGGCGCGAAAGCCAGGGGAGCGAACGGG